rnacentral:rRNA from 1 species
AAUAGAUACCCGGUAGUCCACGCCGUAAACGAUGAGUGCUAAGUGUUAGAGGGUUUCCGCCCUUUAGUGCUGCAGCUAACGCAUUAAGCACUCCGCCUGGGGAGUACGGCCGCAAGGCUGAAACUCAAAGGAAUUGACGGGGGCCCGCACAAGCGGUGGAGCAUGUGGUUUAAUUCGAAGCAACGCGAAGAACCUUACCAGGUCUUGACAUCCCCUGACACUCCUAGAGAUAGGACGUUCCCCUUCGGGGGACAGAGUGACGGGUGGUGCAUGGUUGUCGUCAGCUCGUGUCGUGAGAUGUUGGGUUAAGUCCCGCAACGAGCGCAACCCUUGUUCUUAGUUGCCAGCAUUCAGUUGGGCACUCUAAGGAGACUGCCGGUGACAAACCGGAGGAAGGUGGGGAUGACGUCAAAUCAUCAUGCCCCUUAUGACCUGGGCUACACACGUGCUACAAUGGAUGGUACAAAGGGCAGCAAAGCCGCGAGGCCUAGCCAAUCCCAUAAAAACCAUUCUCAGUUCGGAUUGUAGG